ACGGAGACAUGGCCUAAAGCCAGCGACUGAGAGACAGUAACUCCAUUAACUCAUAGUCUGUAACUUGAACACAUUCACAUCUCAUUUU
rfam:Fukomys damarensis contig121121, whole genome shotgun sequence.